CAAAUUUCUCUCCAGCAGAGAAGCUGCAGUAACAUCAUGGCAGCAGCACUACUAGAAAGAAAAUAAUCAGAGCAAAUUAAGGGAAUUGGCAAGAGCAACGUCAAGAAGGGACUUGUGUGUUAUUUAAAGCAUGCUCUUAUCUCUGCAGCAGCACUUUGCACCUGGAAACAGCAAAGAAUCAGAGACAGCAUGAUGUGUGGGGGGAGGAUGUUGGUGACUUCUCCAUAAAAACCACCCCUCUGGGUUUCGCUCCAUUAGUGAUGCCAGCUUCCCCUUGGAAAUUAUGCAGCAUGGGUGACACUGGCCACAACACUGCCAGGCUCUCCAUCACUUCUCAGAGAGCAGAAAACAAGGGAUGAAAGAGACUUUCCAGUAUGGGGUUGAGCCCUUUGUCACAUCUAGAUGCUGCAGAAGCAUCACCACAGCUGGUGGUCUCCCAGAGUUCUCUGGGAAGGUCUCUAUCCACGGCUGGUCCAAGCUCCCCAUGACUGGCCUGUCAGGCUUAGCCCAAAUCUCUUCCCCAAACCCCUUUGCUUGGCUGAUAAUUCACAUAUGUUCAAAAGCAUCGCCCGCAUCCAUCACCCCACUCCUCUCUCUCAUAGCCACCACUUACUGAGGACAUCCAGCAAGACUGUCAAGCUCUCCCUUUCUGCUCGGUUGACAGUCACUCUGUAGAUGCCACUGUCACUUUCCUGGAGGUCCUCCAGGAGGAGAGAUCCAUUGGAUGCAUGCAGAUGGGCUCGUGCAAUAUAUGGCAUGUGGAUGGUCAGGUUGUGCCUCUCAUACUGCAGGAUGGUGUGGGAAGCAGUGCCGUUGAGGUGCUCCCAUUGUACGGAGUGGAUGAGUGUGAUGUUAUGCGGCCCUGCAAGCAGCACUGAGGAACCCACCAUGGCCACUCUUCUCUGCAGGGCUCUCUCCACUUCUGCAGCAUGUUUCAAAGGCACCAGCAGCCCUGGAUGGUAGAAGAUGAAGAGAAAACAAGCCAGGGAGAUGGAGCAAGUCUUGGGAGUGGUACUCACUGUGCCAAGGACACACAGAUGCUCAGCCUGAAAACCUUCAUCCAUUUGCUCUUCAAGCCAGCCAGUGCAUACGUUAAGAUCACAGAUUAUUCCUAGGACUGCAAUAAAGGCUGUGUUGUCACAUAUAUUGAUCUCUGCAUAACCAUACCUGCAAAAAACUUUUAGCCUCAGUGCCAUUCUCCUGAGCUGUCUCUAUCUCCUCUGCCUUUAACUAACAAAGCAAAAAUACUCUUUCCUUGCAGGACAAGCAUUCAGCCCCACCUCAAAAAAGCCUGACCCUUUAUAGAGCAGCGAUCCCCAUGCAUAACUGCCCAACUUCUUACACCUGUGCUGGUGUGCCCCCAGGUGAGGAUUCAGACUGGAGCCCACUGGGUGGCAUCAAACCCCCAUUUACCUG
rnacentral:lncRNA from 1 species